rnacentral:rRNA from 1 species
AAUGAACGCUGGCGGCGUGCUUAACACAUGCAAGUCGAACGAUGAUUAAGAGCUUGCUCUUAUGAUUAGUGGCGCACGGGUGAGUAAUAUAUAGGUUACGUGCCUCUUAGUCUGGGAUAGCCACUGGAAACGGUGAUUAAUACUGGAUAUUCCUGUUCGCAGGGAAAGGUUUUUCGCUAAGAGAUCGGCCUAUACUGCAUCAGCUUGUUGGUGAGGUAAGAGCUCACCAAGGCUAUGACACAUAGCGGGUUUGAGAGGAUGAUCCGCCACACUGGUACUGAGACACGGACCAGACUCCUACGGGAGGCAGCAGUGAGGAAUAUUGCACAAUGGGGGAAACCCUGAUGCAGCAACGCCGCGUGGAGGAUGACGCAUUUCGGUGAGUAAACUCCUUUUAUCAGAGAAGAACAUGACGGUAUCUGAUGAAUAAGCUCCGGCUAACUCCGUGCCAGCAGCCGCGGUAAUACGGAGGGAGCAAGCGUUAUUCGGAAUCACUGGGCGUAAAGGACGCGUAGGCGGGUUUUUAAGUCAGAUGUGAAAUCCUAUGGCUCAACCAUAGAACUGCAUUUGAAACUGUUUAUCUAGAAUAUGGGAGAGGUAGAUGGAAUUUCUGGUGUAGGGGUAAAAUCCGUAGAGAUCAGAAGGAAUACCGAUUGCGAAGGCGAUCUACUGGAACAUUAUUGACGCUGAGACGCGAAAGCGUGGGGAGCAAACAGGAUUAGAUACCUGGUAGUCCACGCCCUAAACGAUGUACACUAGUUGUUGCUAUGCUAGACAUAGCAGUAAUGCAGUACACA